UACGGAAUGUGCAAACGUUAUUCGGAAUCACUGGGCUUAAAGAGUCCGUAGGCGGCGUGUUAGGUGAGGUGUGAAAUCCCCCGGCUCAACCGAGGAAUUGCGCUUCAAACCGGCGUGCUUGAGGAAGAUAGAGGUGGGCGGAACUGAUGGUGGAGCGGUGAAAUGCGUUGAUAUCAUCAGGAACACCGGAGGCGAAGGCGGCCCACUGGGUCUUUUCUGACGCUGAGGGACGAAAGCUAGGGGAGCGAACGGG
rnacentral:rRNA from 1 species